rnacentral:rRNA from 1 species
UACGAAGGGGGCUAGCGUUGCUCGGAAUCACUGGGCGUAAAGCGCACGUAGGCGGAUUGCUAAGUCAGGGGUGAAAUCCUGGAGCUCAACUCCAGAACUGCCUUUGAUACUGGCGACCUUGAGUCCGGGAGAGGUGAGUGGAACUGCGAGUGUAGAGGUGAAAUUCGUAGAUAUUCGCAAGAACACCAGUGGCGAAGGCGGCUCACUGGCCCGGUACUGACGCUGAGGUGCGAAAGCGUGGGGAGCGAACAGG